AUACGUAGGGGGCGAGCGUUGUCCGGAAUUACUGGGCGUAAAGGGCGUGUAGGCGGCCUGUUAAGUCAGGCGUGAAAACCCCGGGCUUAACCUGGGGACUGCGUUUGAAACUGGCGGGCUUGAGGGCAGGAGAGGAAAGUGGAAUUCCCGGUGUAGCGGUGAUAUGCGUAGAUACCGGGAGGAACACCAGUGGCGAAGGCGGCUUUCUGGACUGCACCUGACGCUGAGGCGCGAAAGCCAGGGGAGCGAACGGGAUUAGAUACCCCGGUAGUCCUGGCCGUAAACGAUGGGUACUAGGUGUGGGAGGUAUCGACUCCUUCCGUGCCGGAGUUAACGCAAUAAGUGUCCCGCCUGGGGAGUACGGUCGCAAGACUGAA
rnacentral:rRNA from 1 species